rnacentral:rRNA from 1 species
GGGAAACUGAGGCUAAUCCCAGAUAGAUGAUGGAUCCUGGAAUGGUUCUUCAUCCAAAAAAUAUGCAUUUCAUGCUAUGUAUGUUGCCUGAGGAUGGGACCGCACCCUAUCAGGUAGUUGGUGGGGUAAUGGCCCACCAAGCCUAUAACGGGUACGGGCCCUGAGAGGGGGAGCCCGGAGAUGGGCACUGAGACAAGGGCCCAGGCCCUACGGGGCGCAGCAGGCGCGGAACCUCUGCAAUGCGCGAAAGCGCGACAGGGCCACCCCGAGUGCUAUCCGCUGAGGGUAGCUUUUCCCUAGUGUAGUAAGCUAGGGGAAUAAGCGGGGGGCAAGCCUGGUGUCAGCCGCCGCGGUAAUACCAGCUCCGCGAGUGGUCGGGACGAUUAUUGGGCCUAAAGCGUUCGUAGCCGGCCUAUCAAGUCUCUGGUUAAAUUUCAAGGCUUAACCUUGAACGUGCUGGAGACACUGUUAGGCUAGGGGGCGGGAGAGGUUGAGGGUACUUCGCGGGUAGGGGCGAAAUCCUAUAAUCCGCGAAGGACCACCAGUGGCGAAGGCGCUCAACUGGAACGCGCCCGACGGUGAGGGACGAAAGCCAGGGGAGCAAAGGGGAUUAGAUACCCCCGUAGUCCUGGCUGUAAACGAUGCGGGCUAGGUGUUGGGUUGGCUUCGUGCCAACCCGGUGCCGCAGCGAAGGCGAUAAGCCCGCCGCCUGGGAAGUACGGUCGCAAGGCUGAAACUUAA